UUCAUAGAAAGGCCACUCCCAAAGAUAAGCUUCAACAGAGUGACAACCGAACUCCUUCCAAAGAUGUCUCAGAAGAAAGCCCUAAAGCUGGACCAAGCGAAGUUGUUGCAUCUCCAUCAAAGUCUUCUUGGGUUGUGCAGAAUAAGCCUCCCUCUCAAGGGAACCUGACUCGAACACCAGCUGUGACUCGACCAUCACCUAUCUUUCCGUCCCCUUCUAAAUACACCUGGCCUGUCAACAACCAUGUAUCAACCCAAGGUGCUCAUUGGCAACAACAGGUGCAACAACACUUGCAACAACAAGUUCAAC